rnacentral:pre_miRNA from 17 species
CCUUGUGAAAUAUUUGCUCAUCAUUAUUUAGGACACAGCAAGGAUAACCUUGCUGUGUCCUAAAUAAUGAUGAGCAAAUUUUUUUUUACAGUUAU